CGCAGAGAUCCACUAGGGGAUACUGCCAUGGAUUUAGAAAAGAGUUGAUCUACACAGAAUGAGGGCUUCUCAGUGGUGGCAGAGAGGAAUCAUUCUCUCUUUCCAUAAGCAUGUUCUAAGCAUUUGGAUAUAACAUGCCAGACGCUAGUCUUGACGCUGAAUACCGCAAUGAAGAAGACAAAGUCCUUGCUCUUGUAGAGUUUAUAUUCUUGCAGAGGAAAUUUAUAAUAAACAAGGAAAUACAUAAAAAUAUAAUGUUAGAUAUCAUAAAAAAUAGAGUAAGAGAGUUGAAAAAGGCUACCACAUACUACAAUAUGUUGACAUUUAACACAAGGGUUCAUAGAAAGACUUGUGGACAAUUCGUGCAACUGCUUCAAAAGGAGAGAUUCACUCUCCUGGUCUCCUAAAGGAACAGUAUUGUCUACUUGUUGGCCAAGCCCUGAAACAGAAGCGAUGAUGCUGCUUUACCAACCUUCCGUUUAACUCUGGGCAAAUGCACUUUCAUCCCUCUAAUCAUUAUGUUAACCAUCUGUGAAAAUGCAUAAAUCUCAGAUUCCAGAAGUCUGAUGAAAUCUACUAGAACAUAAUUAAGCUUAACCAAACCUCUCUUCUCUGGGGUGCGCAUCAAACUAUAACAAGGCCACAGCUGCAAAAGUGCGUUUUGUGAAGCAGUGAGUGGAGACUGAGUCCGUCAGGUUUUUAAGGCAUUGCCGAUGUAGGUUUAACUUACAGUGCCACCACCUCCUAUCUCUGUGGCCUUGGAGAUGAUUAACUUCUCUGGGCUUACUGUCCUUCUCUAUAACAUGGUUGUAACAGCAACCAUCUCAGCAUAUAUCUCAGUUGCAAAGGUUUAAGGAGAUUGCAUAUUUGUUCAAAAGACAUAUGAACUAUCUCACCGUUUCACAACUUACAGUCUUCUCUUAAGGAUUCCGCCAAGCUACAUGAAUGAGGAUGGAGCAGCCACAUUUGUAGUAUGAAGUCCUGCUUUCCUGUCCAUUGUUGAUUGGAGAAGAGUGGGCCUCUGCACCAACCCAGACUGAUGUGGGAUUCUCUCUUCCCACAUUUGGCGCUUGCAAUUGGAGUUGCUAAACUGAGAUCAAUGUCAGAUUUCUUGGGAGAUCAAUGAAUUCUUGCUGCCCGGUUCCCUGAGCUUCCCUGGUUCUCCUCUUCUUAUGUAUCACUUCUUUCUCAACUUUUAUGAGAUAUCCCCCUUUUCUUCCAAUAGACCUCUCUUUAGUUGGAAUUUGAUUCUGACUAUUCACAUUUCAAAUAAAUCCUUAGGUGUUUAUAAUUAAAUGCUUGAUAUUCUUUUGAAUAUGUUCCUUCUAGAGUUUCCUGUUUCAGCAUACACACUGGUUGUGCAACUGGACAUCUCAGCAUCUCUCUAGAAACUGUCCUUUUCCUUCAGCACCAUAUCAAGUCCAUGAAAUCACCUUGAAAUACUUUUUCUCAAAUGUUUCUUUUCUAAAACUUUUCAAGUGACACUUCUUUCUCACCUAGGCUCCUCUCCAUCAAAAGUGGCUUUAACACCUAUUUUCCAGCUUUCUUUCAAUUCAUUCUCCAUAUGGAAGCUGGAGGGAGAGAGAUCCUUCCAAACGUGAGUCAAUCUGGAUCAUGUAACUCCUCUGUUGAAAGAAUUUAAAUGGACUCCCAUUGCCCUUGGAAUACAAUCCCACCUCUCUGCCAUCACCUACAAGAUCCUUUCAGCUCUAGCUCUGCCCAUCAUUUCAUUUCCACCUUCUACUUCUCCUGCAGGUGGGCACUUUUCUUGCUUUGGUUGUUUCCCGAAGGUUCUAGCUCUUUUCUGCCCUGGGGCUUUUUCACAGGUGGUUUCUUAUUUCUGCACUUCUCCCUCAGAUGACUAUUAUGCAACUACCUCAUCUUCUUCUCAUUUCCAUCAUUUUCUGCAGAGAUCUUCCCUGACUUCCUGUGAUAUUAUGAUAUAGUAAGAAAUAUAUAUAUGUCAAUCUUCCCUCAGUUUCCUGGUUCACAGCUCCGAAAGCUCUUGGAAUCUCUGAAGUGAUAAUUUUUUUUUUUUGU
ensembl:lncRNA